GUUCAUGUGGAUGGAGGGAAGAAGAAGACAUAAUUCGGCUGCUUAGACCGAAACAUUGUUGACUGAGCACAUAGGUUUUAGUUUUGGUAUCUGUACACUAUACUUUCCUGCUAACUAUCGCCAGUUUUAAAGUAAUAGAAAGUCGACUGUUAUUUUAGAAUCAUUGUUACUGAGGGGACCGAAGCAAAAACGACUUAGAAGAGUUUAAAAUGGAGAGUUUAGGAGGUGCCGGUGGAAGAUUGUCGUCCUCUCAGCGGGAGGAGUUGAUGGAUCAAGUGAAGCAACAGAUCGUCAUAGCAAACACACAGGAAUUAUUAACGAAAAUGGGUGAAAAGUGUUUUUCUAAGUGUAUAUCAAAACCAGGAUCAUCUUUAGAUAGUUCUGAGCAACAACAAGGAUGGUCGUGGCUGACACCAUCUUUAGCUAUGGAUUGAGAAUAUAAUACAGUGGACUGAGAUGAAUGGAUUUAGGUUUUCAGCUGGUAAAACGAAAUGUUUGGCAAUGUGUAUGGACAGGUAUAUGGAUUCCUGGAAUCUAGUGUCACGAACUUAUACUAGUCGGCUUCAGAGGGAGAAGAAUUUUCAUUGAUACUUGGUGUAAGAGUGGUUCUGUAUAUAAGUACUAUAUGCUGUUAGAUAUAUCUUUGUGUUUAAAAUCAUUCUUUAAUGUCAGAAAUGUAUUAUUUGUCUUAUCAGACAGGUGAUUUUCUAUUAUGGGAUUUCAAAUAUACUUAAAUUUUAUUGUCAGCAUCCUUUCAUUAUCUACUUAACAACCAGUACUUGAAAAUCAACAUUUCUUUUGAUAAAAUCUAUAUGAUAUAUUAGUAAAGAUGAGCAUAUUCAAAUUGAGCUAGAAGUUAACUUUAAAGUAAAAGUCUGGAAUGUUUUAUUUCUGUGAUAUUAAAUGAAGCAAAAAUGGAUUUGGUUACUAUAUUUUUCACACUUCCUGAAAGAUUAAUAUUAUUAAUUGGACAUGGAGAACAUUGAUAUAAAACUUUGUUAAAGUUAUUAGUGUACUGUAUAUGAGAUACAUACUAUGUAUUUGGACAAGAUAGGUGAUGUUUAAUAUUGUACUAUAUGCUGCUUUUUACAAUAAACUGUUGAAAAUAUGAA